UAAAAAAUAAAAAAAAUUAAAUAUAAAAUAAAAUAAAACAAAUUAAAAAAAAUUAAAUUAAAUAAAAAAAAUUAUAAUUAUAAAAUAAAAAAAUAAAUUAUAUAAGAUAAAAAAAUAAAAAAAAUAAUAAUAAUAAAAAAAAAAAAUAAAAAGACCAAAAAUAAAAAGACCAAAAAUAAAAUAAUUUUAUUAAGGUUCUGUAAUCACUGUUCAUUUGUAGAACAACAUCAAGACGCACACCACAAAUAUAAGGAACUCGGCCAAACACCUAACAGAAGUGUCGCCGCCAAUGAUUUAUUUAUUUAUUUUAGUCUCUUAAAACUCGCACUCACUUAUAAAAAUGUAGUUUAAGUAAAUUUACAUACUCGCAACAUGCACUUUUGUUAAAAAGAAUGAAACAAACAAAAUACCAGAAACUUUAUUUACUCGUUCAUUUGCAUUAAUGAUUUUGAACUAGAAAACAUCUCAAGUUCAUUAACCUGAAAAUGUUGCAAGUUUUGGAUUUUCAAAAAGUUGCACUGUUUUCAAAAUGUCUAUUUGUGCAUGUGUGUGUAUGUAUGUGUAUAUAUAAGUGCAUGUGUAUGUGUGUGCAUGUUGCGUGCACUAUUUUUUUUUAAUUGUACGUAGUACACAUUCACCUUUGCUUAAUGCGCUGCCACUUCACUUCACUUUCGCAUUCUCCCCUCACACUGCGGCCGCUAAACUCAAUGUAAACUAAACAGAAAUUGUGUUCGACGCAUAAUAAGAUCAAUUUAAUGAGUUAAUUGAAAGAUUUAUGUGCUUUCUCAUCUACAAAGUGCAGGUAUAUACCUACAUACAUACAUAGUUCACAGUGAUACUCAUUUAUGCGUACUCACACGUAGUAAGUGGUGCACACCCCCUCCUAGACCACAUAGAUGGGCUGGUUGCUGCAGAAGUUCGAACAAACCAAAUUUCAUUAUAUUUAAGAUUAUUGAUUAAAAAGUGGCUGCGAAAGUGUGUAGGCGUGGAAACAUUUUAGAGGCAUACAUUUGUGCAUAUGAGAGUGCGUAGAAGUAUGUGUAAACAAACUUCUUAGUAUGAAUUCUUCAGUGUAUGUGUUGUAGCUUCACUGCAGGCCAGAUCAGUUAUACCAAACUAGUUCGCCUCUAGUGAAUUUAUAAGUAGCACCAUUCGCAUUAUAAACGCAUGGAUAACAAUGAUAACAAAUGAGGUUUCAGACAGGGUGACUCGCUAUCGUGUGACUUCUUUAACCUGAUGUUGGAAAAAAUUGUUCGAGCUGCAAAACUUAAUCGCUCAGUCACAAUUUUCUAUGAAAACGUUAAAUAUUAACAUCAUCGGCUUUAACAAUCACGCUGUUAGUGCUGGGGGAUAAAGAAGCAAAGCGAUUGGGUCUGGUGGUGAACGCGGACAAAACGAAGUACCUCCUGUCAUCAAACAAACAGUUGGUCCACUUGCGUAUCAUCACCCAAGUCACUGUUGACAGUUAUGAUUUCGAGGACUUCGUUUAUCUAGGAACCAGCAUUAACAAGGGUAACAAUGUCAGCCUGGAAAUCCAACGUAGAAUCUCUCUUGCCAAUAAGUGCUACUUUGGACAAAGUAGGCAAUUGAGUAGUAAAGUCCUCUCUCGACGAACAAAACUAACACUCUUUAAAGCUCUCAUCAUGCCCAUCCUAACGUAUGGCGCAGAAGUGUAGACGAUGACAACAUCCGAUGAAUCGACUGUUGGAGUGUUUGAGAGAAAGAUUCUGCGCAAGAUUUUUGGGCCUUUGCACGUUGAUGCUGGCGAUGGAACAAUCAACAAUGAGCUGUAUGAGCUUUACGAGGAUAUAGACAUAGUGUAGGGAAUAAAGCUCUAGGGGCUCCGUUCGCAUUUUGUCCGAAUGGAUACAAACGCGCCGGUUCUGAAAGUACUCGAUGCGAUACCAGCUGCUGGUAGCAGAGGAAGUGGAAGGCCUCCUCUGCGUUGGAAAGAUCAGGUGGAGUAGGACUUGGCUUCACUUGGUGUGUCGACUCGCGCGCUUUGUUAAAUUCGUAAUAUUUUGACGCCAAUAGAUCCGCUUGAAGUGCAUUUCUGCCCGCGAAAAAAGUUUCGUAAAAUACUAUACGCGUGGGUAUCAAACAUUUUUUGUUUUUUUUAAAGUGCAGGACACAAAAGAUCUUUAAGGUCUAAGUGUCGGCCAUUGCGCGCAUUACUAAUUUCAAUGUAUGUAAGAUAUACUACACCCUUUUCCCUUUGACUUAUUUCUGGCGUUUAAGUUGAAUUUUGAGUUUUCGUGUAUGAAGAGACUAAUGCUAGAAUUGUAUGGCAAAUAUUUGUAUUUGAACCCGCUAAAUCCCUCUUUUAUGAGCAUUCUGUGCCUUUUUUAGUAAAAACACAAAAAGAACCCAUUUAUUAAGAAGUUAGAGGGUUAAAAUAUUCCACGAAAAUAUUCACUGUUGUUUUUUACAUAGAACUGCUGAGCACUUCGUAUAUCUAAAAUGUUAAGAUCACUUAGUUUCCUAUGCCGAUUCUCUUAUGGUAAGAAUGUGCCAACGGGUGAAAAUUUUUUCGGUUUUUUGGUCACGCGUGAUCUGUCAAAAAAACCUAUUCGAAAAAGUACCACCCUUUGUAGGACACAAUCACCCUUUAGUAGGACACAAAACAUGCCUUAGGUCAAAGUGUCUGCCGUUGGGCACACUACAGAUACAAAAAUUAUUAUUAUAUUAGUAGUAUAGGGUGGGCCAUGUAAAUUUUGCUUUUUGAAUCGGCUAUAAGAAAAAAAACAAAUCAAAAUUUUUCCAACCUUUUUUUUUAUUUUGAAGACUGAACAUUGUCAUUUAUGAAUGAAAAAUAAUAUUGUUCAAAUGACUGCCACGUCUGGCUUUACAGUAGACCAUUCGAUCAACCCAAUUUUUAAGCACAUUUUCGACUGUUUGGGCUCCAAUUUCAUGAAUGGCAACUUCGAUUUCGUGUUUUAAAGCAUCAAUCGUCUCUGGAUGGUUCGCAUAGCUUUUGUCCUUAACGGCUCCCCACAAAAAAUAGUCCAACGGGUUUAAAUCACAGCUCCGAGGCGGCCAAUUGAUAUCGGAAUUUCGGCUGAUUAUUCGAUUUUCAAAAACGGUAGCCAAAAGUUAGAGUGUAACUUUGGCAGUGUGACAAAUUCCACCGUCCUGUUGAAAACAAAUGUCGUCCAUGUCAUCCUCUUCAAUUUUUGGAAACAACUCGUUGAGCACGUCACGGUAACGCUCACCAUUUACUGUAACCGCGGCUCCUCGCUCAUUUUCGAAAAAAAUGGCCCGUUGAUGCCGCCAGACCAAAAACCGCACCAAACAGUGACUCGUUGUGGAAGCAUUUGCUUCUCUACAGUAACGUGUGGGUUUUCUGAGCCCCAAAUCCGACAAUUUUGCUUAUUGACGUAGCCACCGAUGUGAAAAUCAGAAAAGAAGAAGAAGGCUCACCACUUUAGAAACAGGUUUUCAAUAUUUCCCAAUUUUGUUCAAGCGUAUAGCGUCCCAUUUUGUAAAUGUCAAACCUUUAAGUAAAUUAUGAACACAUUUGACAUGUCAUUUGUGUUACCAUUCUCAAAAAAAAUAGGUGGUUCAAAAAGCAAACGCUAUAUGGCCCACCCUGCAGUAGUAAUUUAGUAGUAAUUUUAUUUAUUUGUAAAUAUGGCAUCUUACAUUUCAACAGUUCAUAUAAAUAUACAAGUACAUAAAGAAAGAAAUAAUAAAUUUGUGGCAAAUGUUUCUGUCACAGCUCAAAAAUUAAUCAAAAAUUAAACUCUGCAAUACGAAAUUCUCUAUAACGUAUGGCUGGGUAUAUAAAGUAAGUUAGUCUUUUCCAAUUAUGGCCAUUAAGUAAGUAUAUACAUUACUUCUGCUUCAUUUACCUUCGCUGCGUUUAGGUAUCUUGUUCUGAUCUCCUUCAGUACCGCACAUCUUCUUAAGAAGUGCUGCAUAUCUUCUUCCUCGUUUAAAUUGCAGAAGGGUGCAUAUUUUCUGGAUAUUUCUACACAUGGUUGCAUUUUGCUUUAGUAAACUACAUCUUGCUUUGAAAAUUGCUGUAAUAUCAGCUAGUCGCAUAUCUUCUUUAAUAUAUGCUUCCUUUUUGAGUAGUCUAAAUACUUAUAAAUUCGCGUCGCGCUUGACUGUGCUUUUUGCCUUGCCAUGUUGAGAUCUUUUAUUUUCAUUUUUGUAAGAAGUUUCACACAGCGAUCUUGCCAGUUUACAGCGGUGAUGUUUUCUUCAAACUUCAGACCAAACUCCAUUCCCAUGUCGUUCAGAUGCUUAGGCCAAAACAAAUUUUUACUUAAGAUGCCUUGUGUUAGUUUGUGUGGGAGUCUGUUGCAAUUGUAUUUAUAACUGGUUUUCCAGAUAUAUAUUACUUCAUGUGUAGGAAGUAACGUUGAAGUUUGUUUGCUUCAUCUCUGCAAACUUGUGCUUCCUUUUUGAAGCCAUUCGGCUUCGCUAAAAAGUCGUUCCAUGUGCAAUUAAUAAUAGCUUUUGCUGAAGUAUUCCUGGCUUGGCACCAAGAUAUUUAUAUUCGGCCACCAAUUUAAUUUCUUCACCUUGGUACCAUUUUUCUCCCUGGGAAAGUGUUCCACCUUUUCUAUAGACAGUCAUCUCCGAUUUAUUUGGGUUUACUUCCAUAUUCCAUUCAGCGCAGUAUUUCUCCAGGUUAUUAAUCAGGGAUUGCAUGAUUUUAGGAUUAUCCGCCUGGAGAACAAUAUCAUCGACAUAAAGGAGAAGAUAGUCGUGUAAAUCAUUUAGGUAUAAAGUGAACAAUAAUGGCGAUAACAGACAUCCUUGUUUCCCACCAGUGCAGGUUUCAAAAUAGCCGGAUACUCCUUUUCCCGUUAUUAUUAUGUAUUACUAUUAACUAUUAAAAUAUCACAUUGAAUACUUAUUUGACGAUGAGAGUAAAUAUCUGUGAAAUGUAUGUAUGUAUGUAACAACAUAAAAAUUAAAAUUUUAUUCAUUGACACACUUACACUUCACAUAGAUACACGGCCAUUAUGUGACAAAAAUGUUUGACAUGUUUUUAGAAAUUGAGGGCAAAGCACAAAACUGUAGUAGUUUAUUUUAAAAAUCAAUUAAUUACAAAAGGAUGUUUAAAAAUAAACAUUUUAAAUAUCACGAUGUUAUGAAAAAAAUGAAAACUAUUUGCAUACAUACAUACAUAUGUAGGCGCACAUUCAUAAAAAUCAAUUUUGUAAACAAAUGUUUAUGAUUUCAAUAAAAACUUUGCUUCGUUUUUGCUGACGCCGCGACUUUGGUGGAAUUUAGUUGAUGGCUGAACAGCUGUGGAGUGACUAAUAAAAAAUGUCUAUCAAAAUAAAUAAAUUUAAUCUUAAAGAAGAACUAAUGUUCUCGAAAUUUGUUAAUAAGAUUAAUAAGAAUAGCGACAAAAAGCGGAAAAUUCAUGAACUCUCAGCAUUGAUGGCGAUUUCGGUCAAAACAACUUGUUUACACGGUCUCGUCUACUUCGGAAACGUUGUAAUAAUUUGCUUUGUUGAUUUGCUUUGUUGCAUUGCGUCAUAUCAGGCAGGCAACAACAACAGUUGGUAGUGACAGUAAUGCAUAGUGUUUUGAGUCAGUGUUGGCAUAUUACAUUGAAAUACUUACUAAUAGACGCAAAGGAAAAAUGUUGUAGGCGUUCAAUCACUGCAGUUGGCUGUGUAAAUCAAAAUUUAAAUGACAAUAAAGUUUAUUUUCGAAUUUUUUGUGGCUACGAAUAGGGAUUGGAAUGAGCAACAUAUCACACUGUGCAUAUAAAGGGGCUGUUGGGUGCCAUACAUUCACUUGGAGACAAUGCGCGCUGCGCUUAGCGGUCCUUAUCAACAUUCAAAGCCACUGCCAGAAGUCAGAAUUUAAAAAAAAAAUUGUAUUUUUGUUUUGCAUUUUAUUAAUAAAAUAUCUUAGAAAUAUAGUUAGGGAGUUCACAAAGUGUACUAUUGAUGCUAUUUCUCCCUUCUGCUAUUGAAAUAGCACAGUUGUAUAGUCGAACGUGUGAACAUCCUUUGCUAUUUGAUGUACUAUUGUGAAUGCUAUUCACCCAAUCAAUCAGCUGCUUAGCAGAAGUGAAAGUAAUACAAAAUAUAAAUAUAAACAUAAAAAUGCCUAGGAGGAGCGAAAAAAGUAAAAUAAUAGCAGCGAUUUGUCAAAAAUAUACACACGACAUCUUCAUUGUGGACGAGAGUGAUGAAGACGAGCAGGAAGAUAUCGAUGAAAGUUUCAGACUGAAUAUGCUGAUAUUGCUAAACAAUCGCCGAGGUGUCCAUUUAGGAAUUCCUAAGCCAAACCAAUGGAAGCUGAAUGUAUUGGAGCAUUUAGAUGAAAACAGAUUUUGCCAAAUGCUGCGAGUAAACCAAAUGGAGUUUGACCACCUUUUAAUCUUAGUAAAAGAUGAUGAUGUGUUUCGGAGUGAUAACAACACAAUACAGCUUCCGAUUGAACUUCAGCUUAAAAUCGUACUUUAUAGGUUGGGAUCUUCCGGUGAAGGACUUUCGAUCCGUAAAGUGGCAUCCUUAUUUGGUGUUGGAGAUGGCGGUACCAUUCAAAUCGUAACCAGGCGAGUUUUUUCAGCUAUACUCAAUUUAAAGGGUAGAUUUUUAUUCUGGCCCAAUGAAAGAGAGCGUUUAAAGCUGGUUGCAGCCACAGAAAAAGAAAUGCCUGGAUGUGUUGGAUUUUGCACAAAUUGUGAUGGUAAACAAAAUCAGCUGAUCGUAUAGCAUAGACAAAUAGCACACUAAACAUACCUUUUAAAGUUGUAUUGAAAUAACAGUAUUUGUACAUGUUAAACAAAAACAACAACUUUACAACUGUGCUAAUACAAUAGCAUGAUUAAAGAAAUACGACAAAUAGUACAUAUUGUGAACUCCCUAAAUGUGAAAAUUUGAAGUGAAUCCGACAAAUAUUUUUCGAGUUAUUCAACAAUGAACAAAGGGCGCUCGGGCGCUCCGGAGCGUUCACAAAAUUUUGAAUGCGUUUUUCUCAAAACUAUGUUUUUUGAACUGGUGAUCACUGUAUCUUUAAAACCGCUUGGUAGAUUUCAAUAAAAUUUAUACUGCUUUUGAAAAACAUAAAAAAAAAUCGUGCCUGAUUGAAGGAUUUUCUUUUUUUUUCAAAAAUUUCGAUUUUGUUUUAAACAAUUAACUGUCGGUUUUUUUCUCGAAAAUCCGAAAAAAUAUUUCCUCAGGCCGCCAUAUUGUUAAUUUUCAAAAAAAAUGCUUCGAUCAAACACAAGAUUAUCUAUUAAUAAAACUAAUUUCUCUUGUCCGAUUCAUUUGAAUCUUCAAGGACUUGUGAUUAUCACCGUAAGGGACUUCUGGCGAAACGGGCUCCACACAAACAGCGAUAACUUUUACAAUUUUUUUUUAUUUUUUUUGAUUUUUUUUUUUUUGAAAUUUUGCUAAAGUCAAGUCGACAGAUGAUGCAUUAAUGCUAUGUUUUAAUUUUUAUAAAAAAUUUGUAAAAAAAAAAAUUAUUGAAAAUUAAAAUUUUUUCGAGCCUCUGAUACCAUUAUGAAACCAUUAUGAUACCAUUAUGAAAUCAACCGCUGUUGGUGGCUGUUGAUGUAAUGGAGCAGAUUUAUGGGAUUUAGGUUGGAGCAGUCUCCAGUCUGUCGAAGAGAGGAGCACGCAGUGAUUUUAAUCGUCUACCUGCCAUGCCUGGCCAUUUACAGAGAAAGUGCUCAACAGUCUUCUUCUCUGAAAGGCCCCCACAGCUUCUACAAUGGGUGCUAAAUGAAGCUGAAAUGAAUCUAGCUUUUGCGCGUGCAUGCCGAUCGUUCAAUAAUCGGUAAACACAGCCACGAAUUUGGAAAUUUAAUGACGUGGAGUUCACAGGACUUUCUGUGUCCUCCGCCUUUUGUACUGAGGCCAAAGAGUUUUCGAAAUAGCACAGGAAUAAAUGGAACUUCAUCUCUUUUACGCUUUUCUGUGAAAUAAGAGGUCCGAUUCCACUUUAACACCAGUCAGAGACAUGGCGAUGACCGCGCAGGAGGUCACUCAGACCAAUUCAGUCGACCCCCUCUUGGCAAGCUCAUCAGCAAUUUCAUUUGCUUCAAGUUCUAAUUUCCUGGCAUCCAGAUAAGAGAAAUAUUACCUGCAUACUCAAUAGAUUUGAUCUCCUCCCCCUGCUCCGAUUCCAUCUUGCAGUCGUAGUUUCAAACUUUGUGCAAUUUUUAUCGGAAGCAUAGCGUGGGUUUUGGAACAAGACGUGAUUAACAACUUCUUACUUAUCCGUGCAGAUUGGGCAGUUUCGUGAACUGUUAUGACCAAAUCUAUGGAGGUAUUUUAUAAAUAUCCCGAGCCCUGAAACGAAUUGAGUUAGGUAGAAAUUUGUUCUCUCAUAGGAUCAUACCCCCUUAAGGGUGGGUAUUCAGUUGUAUGUCCAUCUCUACCCUUGGGGGAUCUGUUCCACCGGUCUUGCCGCUGUAUAUUGUCUUAAUUUCUUUUGCCAAAAUAUCUGGCGGGUUUGUCGGGAAUCGAGAUAUGCCACGAGGUGUACAUACAUACGUAUGUAUCCUAUAGAUGGCCUGCUGCGUUUUGAAUAUGCCAACCUGUUAAGAAUGUCCGAAUUUUUCUACUUAGUUAUUCUACUACUUACAUACACAAGGUGGCGCAAAAUUAAUCACUCAGUUUAUAAUUUUUCAAAAUCCGCCUGCUGUAUAGAAAUAGACAAGCAAUGGAAGCCCUUAAAGUCCAUCACUCAAAAUCAUUUUCUUCUUAUUUAGUUAAAAAGUUAUUCAAAAACAAACCCGAUGACCAGUUAUGCGCCACCUUGUAUGUAUGUAUGUUUGUAUGUACGCACGAACAAUUUCUGUGUCUUCUCUGGGAGUUUUAAAUAGGGAGUUUACCUUUAGCCUAAUUCGCCUUUGCGUUGAACAAUUCACAGAAAUACAAUAAUAUUUUUAACACCAGCCGAACCCUGUUGAGGUAGCUCUUUAAAAUGCUGUCUACCCCACCCCCUCAGCUGUGUUGCUUGUGUAGGCGUGUUGCUAACCAAUUAGUGCGCUGCCAAUUGCCUCCGACGCGACGGCAUUCACAUGCUCGCGCAUUACAAAGCGGAUUACUUAAGUAAUCGCAUGCGAAGUAAACAAAUCCAUACGUACGUGCAUACAAAUGUAUGUGCAUACAUUUACAAGCAUAAGCAACGCAGAGAAAAACUUUGAAGAAAACCUUGACUUGAUUUCGCUAAUUUCGGCUAGAGUGAGCAAAGCACAAAAACAAGCAGUUAAAAUGAAUAAAAUGCCAAAGGCUUAUAGAAACGCGCUAGUAAAUCACAAGAACAACAAAAAAUACAACAAUAUACAACAACAACACCAAGUUGCAUGUUUAUGGCAUACUUAUCUUUCAAAGCAUCUAUGUCAGCUGAAGCCACUGCCUGCCACUCUGCCAUCACCAUCACCGUCCACCGUCACUGGCGUUGUAAAGACGACAAACAAAAGCUCGCGAAAUCCUCGCAAAUCGGCUGCAAUUAAUUGCUGCAAACAAAGUGAUUAAAUUUGAAAUUUAUCAUAUUUAUUAUUAGUCAUAGCGCAGCUUUUAGAAAAAAAAAUAGUAAAAAAAAUACUUAUAUAUCAAGUAAUAAUUUUCCAUUUGAAUGCUUACAAGCCAACUAAAUUCUUAUCCAAGGCAAAUUCAGCUCCCACCCACACUUCAAUUUUUCGUCAACUUUGUUUUUGUUUGUUUUUUGUUCUUACGUUUAAAAAUAUAACGCAGCACGACAUAAAAACUAAAAACUAAAAAGAAAAAAAUUCUUUCUCGCAAUUCUUGAAAAUGCCAUUUGAAUAUUACCACCGUGUUCCAACAAUAAACCAAUGCCUGAUGUCAAGGGGAAGUUGCUGCAAACAACACUUCAAUACUCGCAUACACGCGCGUAUGGAAUUUUCUGACACAUUUUACAGUUUUAUAGUCUUUUACAUGUCGUAAAUUAUUGAGUUACCUAAUUUUCGAAACAUCCUCUGGCAUAUACCCCGAGUUUUUUUGUCUUUAAUUUUAUUGCUGCUAUAACGCGGCCUAUCGCCUGCGCCCUUCUAUUACCGGUUUCCAUGGCGACUUUCUACGCGCUCACGUAUGCCACUUAGAAAGUGUAACAUUUUCGAUAUUCUUCUGUCAACUGCACUGUAAUUUGUUUGUCAUCUAAAUACUGGUGUAGGUUGGGCUGCAGACAGGCCUAUUUUUAUACAGGUUUGUGGGAGAAGAGCCGCGCCAGUGUGUGGUGUGUGUGUGUGUGUAUUAGGACAUUCAAAAAUGAUUUAUGUUUAAUGCUUUGGUAUAAAAGUUUAGUUAAUAUUUUAAUUUGUUUCGUAUGAAAGUCGCCGCAUAAGUGUCCAAAAAGUUUAUAAAUAUAGAGGCUUCUCAAUAAGAUAAAAAAUAACUUUUCUUUUGAGAGCAGUAAGAGCAGUUUUGUCGCUUCAAACGAUGAAGAGGCCCCAAUUUUUCAAUUAACUUGAUUUUGUAUUUAUGCGUUGAAUCCAAUAACUUUAUGCUAAAAUCGCUACAAUGUGGUCUGAGAGAUCAAAUUCUCAAUUCUUGUGAGCGACGUGAAAUUUCCUACUUCCAGGCUAACUUAAACUUACAGAAAGUUCUCUAAUGUUUGCGCUACCUACACUCAGUACUUAGUUUAAUGUGACAUCAAGCAUCUACUUGAAGAAGGCAAACAUUUAUUAUAGCAAGCGUGUAGGUUUGGAAACCUUCUUAGCCGCUCAGGAGUAACAAUCACGUAUGCUGACGAUAUCGCAAAAGUGGCGAGGAACAAAAGGUAUCCACUUGAAACCUUCCGUAACAUUGAAAGUCGCUCAAAAGCAGUAGAUCUUAAAAUAAAUGGAGGCAAAAUGAAAUAUCUGAAGAUAUCGCACAUCGAAGAGAGACAAAAUCUCGAAAACAUGGAAAUCUUUUGCGAGUGUUGAGCACCUUAAACACCUGGGAGCUCUAAUAAAAAAAAACAGAUCGCAGUCAUGAGGCAAUACACAAAAAUAUGCUGUAGUCUUAACUGUUUACUACACCUAAAUGUAAAUUUCACCUCAAAGACGAAGUGAGCUUAAAAGCUUUUGAAAGAAUAGUACUUCGAAUUGUGUUUGGUCCCAUACGUUGCAACGAUGGAACGUAUUGAAUACGCUAUAACGACGAAUUGCUGAACUUUUGUCGGGAAGAAGAUGUCGUUAAACAUACAAAAUCCACAAGUAGGUAGGUUAGGUUAUUUAGGUUGCUUGUCUAAGACAAGAUACUCUGUGGCUUUAAGGUCCCUUCAAAGAAAUAAUCGCCUAGAUAUUUGGCACGGCUUCUUUGAAGUGCAGGAUAUUCACAGAGGAGGUGUUUCACCAACUCGAUUUCUACUUCAUCUCUACAGCUCUUUCAGAAGUCAUUGUGAGGCACAUCCAUUCUACUGGCUAAGAUGCCAAUAGCGCAGUGACUCGUUGUAACUCCUGUGAGGGCGUUGAUAGUAGAUCUGCUGAAUGCAAGCAUAUAAUUUGUCCUUUUAAGAUUUAAAUUUGGUUAGAGUGCUUUGGAGAGCCUGCAUUUAGUAGUCAGAGACCACCUUCUACUGGUUUUCUCGAUUAAGCUCAGGUCAAUCGCAUUGUAUAACUCGUUUAGAGGAAUACUUAUGCCCUGUACCACUCGCUGAAGGUCCAGCUCAGAGCCUAUCCUUGUACACUCAUCUCCUCUUUUAUUUCCCUCCACUCUAGAGUGGCCGUGGACCCACCAAAGUGUGGGGCUGUGUGUUUGGGAUAAGCGAGAGCGGCCUUCUGCAUUUUUUAACACAGUUUGAAUUGAUGCCACUGUUUUGAUCGCUGAUUGACCAUCAACAAAAAUGGUAAGGGUUGCUGAAGGUAAGACCAUUAGUCGUUUUUGCUGCUUUGUCUAUAGCGUAGAUCUCAGCUUGGAAGACGCUACACCGGUUUGGGAGUCUAAAGGAACAAUUUAAUUAUCAUUCAUCCAUCUUUAAGCCGUCAGUAUAAAUAUGGUGACCAAUCCUUCCUGUCGGCGGCGCCGUGGCCGAAUGAGUUGGUGCGUGACUACCAUUCGAAAUUCAGAGAGAGAACAUUGGUUCGUAUCUCGGUGAAAGAUCAAAAUUAAGAAAACGUUUUUUCUAAUAGCGGUCGCCCCUCGGCAGGUCCGAGUGUAUUUCUGGCAUGAAAAAGCUCCUCAUAAAAAAUAUAUCCGCCGUUCGCAGUCGACUUGAAACUGUAGGUACCUCCAUUUGUGGAACAACAUCCAUUUGUGGAACAACAUCUAGAAGCACACCACAGAUAGGAGGAGGAGCUCGGCCAAACACCCAAAAAGGGUGUACGCGCCAAUUAUAUAUAUAUAUAAUCCUUCCUGUCAGAUAUGCGUAUUUUAUAGUCUGUGUUCAGAUCUAUCUUGGGAACCAGAUAGUCUGUUUUCAAUGCGUCUUGCAAGUGUACCACAGAUGAUUGAACUGAUACAUGACCGUUUAGUUUACAUAUGUAUAUAUCAAUGGGUGGAAUAUGUAGGAUCACUUCCAGCGCAGUCUGAGCCGUCGAUCGGAGCGCACCUGUUAUUCCUACACAAGUUAAUCGUUGGACUUUUAUGAGAUUCUUUAGGUAGGAUUGUGUCUGCACCGUCUCACACCACACGAAAGCUCAAUAAGUCAAGAUGGGUCUGAUGAUUGUAUUGUACGCUCUGAGAUUGAUGUACUGUUUCUUUAUCCGUUCCCUGGUGUUCUUUUUCCAACAAAAAUUUCAGUACAGAAUUAUGACAAGCUACUUGGCUUCAUUCGAUAAGGUUAGUAUUACUCCAUCUACAGACGGUAACUGAAAACUCGGUAUCUAUAUCUUCUAGUGAACAGAAAUAGUUCGGUCUUGGCUGGAUUAACCAUUAGACCGUUUGAAGUCGCCCACUUGGAGAGUUCCCUUGACGCUGAUUGCAUAAGCCCGAGUCGAGAGAAAUUUCCUUGUCAUCAGGAUGACUACAUCGUCUGCAUAACCAACUGUCUUGAUCCUUUUCUUGUUACCACAUAACAAAUAUUGCAAAAAAGUAUCAAGACAAGUAUCAAGUACAAGUCUCGUAAAAAGCAUCGAGUAAAAAAAAAACGAAUUGCUUCGAGAGAAAAGUAUCGAGUAGGUGCAGGUAUCGGUGAAUAACUAGUGGAACCUCGAAAUGGAAUCUGAAACGAGCUUGGAACACGCACGUAUUCUCUAAGAAGUGAGGAUACAACCAUUGAAAAUUGUCUAAUAUGAAGAGAUGUAAUUCACCUCCUCUGUAAGUGACCUUUAUUGUGCAGAAGUAAUUACUAAUAAAUUUUGAAUUCUUGCAUUUUAAAAAUUCGCAUGCCAACGUGCCAUUGGGUUCCUAAAGGGUUUAAGAGUGCAAUUGACUAAAAUAGAAAUGUCACUUGGCCAUACAAACAUACAUACAUAUUUACAUAGCCGUUGGAUUGGACGAUGCAACACUAAACUAUUCGUAUUCGUUUUGUUGUUGGCUUUGCAACAUAAAUUUUCCGUUCCGUUAAAUUAUUUUCCACGCAUAAUUACCAAAAUAUGUGAGGAAAACUUGCAAUCUAGAACAACAUGCGAGUACAAACAAGAAAUUAGCUUUUCAUAAACAAACAAACAAUUAUGAGCGCCUUAUCUCGCAUGUCGUCCGCACACAUAUUGCACGACGCUAUGUGUGUAUGUAUGCGUGCACUUAUGGCUUAUGCCAGCUAACGCGCUAGUGGAUGGCAUACUAUCACAAAAAAAAAAACAACAAAAAAAAAGGAAAAGAAAAAACGCAAAAAAAAAAAAGAAAACAGCAAAAGAAACAGAAACAGAAGCUAAAUCAACAACAAUAACAACCAAAAGUUAUAAUCAAGUGCUGUAGUGUCUGAGUUUCAUGUGUGGGUGUGUUGGGCUACACAUUUCACUCGCACACAUGUACAUACGUGCCAUACUAAGCAUGUGCGUGGUAUGUAUGGAUGUGCACACACACACAUAUGGACAUAAGUAAAACUUAUGCAGUUAGAAGCACAAUAUUUCUUUCGUGGUUGCUCCCGUUUUUGCGGAUGUGCGAACGCCGUCACUAUACUCGCCGUAUGCUGUGGCGUUCAGCAAAAUGCAAAUACAUACGAAUACCAGCUCUACAUAAUACUACACACACACACACGUAUACGCAGCAAUGCUAGUGGCCAUUCUAUUUCAUACUAUAUGCGCGCAUUCUAACAAGCGCCAGAGUGCCAGCAACAGUCUGCCUCAAACGGCUAAAUGCCGUUGUUGCCAUUGCUACCCAUUGCUCGUGGUUGUUUUUUUUUUUAUUCUUGCUGCUGCUGCUAGUUUGGGGGCGUUGUUGAUAAAUUGAAAACAUUUGCUUGCAAUCUGCCACAUGAAGGCUACGCACCUGCCUUGCACGCGCCCGCACUCUCUCCUCCGCUAGAUCGGCACAUCACGGGCAACAUAACUUACCUGGUUGCGUUGCAAUUGCUGGCUGACGGACUGACUGACUAAGUAGUUGGGGCAAUGUGGUCACAUUACUGGCAAAAUUGUUGUGGCAAAGUUUUCUGCGUUGAUUUCACUUCAUUUCUCUUGCAGCCUCUGGGUGCCACAAAAUGUGAGUGCGUACUGGCGAAACAAGUUUGAAGCAGUCAUACGAGUAAGUUGCUGUAGGGUGUGAGAGUGUUUGCUUUAAGGUACUCGUAUACAAUAGCAUUAAGCUGAAUGAACGUUUGAUUUUGUUGUGGAUGUAUUUAGUGCGUCGUUUUUUUCAAAUUUGUGCUUGAAUUCAGCCGAUAGCAGCCAAUAGCUAUCAAUUAGCACUUCGUUUGUUUUUUAAUCGGAACUCAAUCAUUCUUCGCGCCUGUAAAUAUGCAACUCUCAGCAGCAACAAGUGCACUAUUUGGUUAUUAUUUCAUUCGUCUGGUAUAUGUCUGCACCUCUCAACUGCCUUAUGAAAUGGCAAUCAGUCUCACUAUAUUUUCCCUCUCAAUAGUAUGACUUCGCCCACAUCUCCGUAUGGCUGAAAAUUUUCCAAAACUUUCCUACAAGAGAACAUAGGAGAGAUCCAGACACUAUUUUGCGAAGUUCGGCAUGAAUUUUCUGCAUCGACGACUCCAAGACUGAAAAUGGUGCUGGGGAGGGCUGACAUUUGGACACUAACUUCAGAUGCUUUAGGUAUAGUAAACACGAUGUCUCAAUCGGUAGUCUUUGCAAUACUUAAAGACUAGACUGAGGUCUAUAGUGACAUCCAAAUGGCUCUAAAAUAAAAUACUAAAAACAACUCGCACCUUUUCAAAAAUUUUCCAGGAAUACCAAUUGAAGCCAAAUUCUGUUAAAAGUCCGAAUGAGCUUUAAUUUAUGUGGUUGGCGGAAUACUGUGGUGUUCAACACAACGAACUGGCUAAUGAAUUGGUAAACUGCGGUUCUUUGGGGCGCCCAAUUCAACUGGAGCCAAUUUUAGACCCAAGCAUCGCGGAAACAGGCGGGUAACAAAGCUCAUGAGAACCGUUGGUGCAGUACCUGACACAUACAAAACAAUCAAGCGUUUUCUGGAGAUGCCUAAAAGGGUAGUGGCAAAAUUCCUCGUCAGACAGGGUAGGAGCGAGCUACGAGCCUUGAGAGGACUGCUUGCAGGACACACUUCAUGGGGGCGACAUAUGGUCACCAUAGGAAUCGCUAAAACAGGCAGGUACUCAAGGCGGGUAACAAAGCUUAUGAGAGCCGCUGGUGCAGUACUGACAUACGCAAAACAACCAAGCGUUUUAUGAAAAGAAUGGAUAGGGUAGUAGCAAGUUUCCUUCUCAGACAGAGGAAUAGUGAGUUACGAGCUAUUAUAAGGGGCAACAUGUGGUCACCAUAGGCAUCAUCGACGAGCCAUUGUCUACAUCUUCUUUGGGGGAUGAGCAUUGUACAGAACAUUUUCUGCGUUGAUGUCUGGCUUUUGCCAGACUUAGGCGGUACAUCUUUGGGGCGAAUGUAUUGAAACAGGACGAGUUGCAUUUUCUUUCCUUCGACGAACUGCUAAGAUUCAUAAAAAAAAUUCUGGCAAAUUUGCAGAAGAGCAAUAAGUUUCAAACCCACCAGUCCCUCCCUAUUUAUUCUUCAAAUCCUCUCUGUUCUUAAGUCCAUGGCGGAAAUAUUGCCUGGGUGCUUCUAAAAAUUUUCGGUUAUUGCAUAUACGAGUUCUGUCCUGCGAGCUUGCCGAUUAUUGCGAGUGCUCGAGACGGUUACUAAAUAUUAACAACAAAUAUUAACGGAAUUCGAUGCAAUGGUAUCAACGCUUAUGUAAAUCAAAAUAAUCAAAAGCAAAAAAAAAAAAAAAAAAAAAAAUCAAAA